AGGGCGGGCCCGGGCCGCGGGCGCGCUGGGAGGAAGGAAGGGCCCAGAGUGCAGGUGACUCCGGCAAUGGCGCGGGGGCGGAGGAUGCGGGCGGCCGGGCGUGGCACGACUCGCCCAGGCUGCGCUUCCCGACCCGGCCCCGGAGCGAUGGGUCCGCUAGGGCUCGGCGCCGUGAUUUGGCGGGGACCGGGGCAAAGCACCCAGUACUAACGACUCAGCGGGUCCCACUCGCCAAGAGUCGAUUUUCGUCCUCACCACAGACUUGGGAGGGAGGUCUUAUUUUGCUAAUGAGAAAACGGAGGCUCAGAGGGGUGAGCCGAUUUGCCCGAGGUCACACAGGAAGAGGCGGAAUUCCUAGCGAGUAAGCUGGACACAAAAACUGCCGAGACAAGAGCUGGUUAACUUGUUCACACUACAUCGUGUUGGACUGACAAGGCUCCCAGGGCUCAGCACCUUUGAAGGUGUGCACGUCAUCACCCUAAAGUCAAACCACGGGCGCCA
rnacentral:lncRNA from 1 species